rnacentral:rRNA from 1 species
AGAACGAACGCUGGCGGCAUGCCUAACACAUGCAAGUCGAACGAGACCUUCGGGUCUAGUGGCGCACGGGUGCGUAACGCGUGGGAAUCUGCCCUUGGGUUCGGGAUAACAGUUGGAAACGACUGCUAAUACCGGAUAAUGACUUCGGUCCAAAGAUUUAUUGCCCAGGGAUGAGCCCGCGUAGGAUUAGCUAGUUGGUGAGGUAAAGGCUCACCAAGGCGACGAUCCUUAGCUGGUCUGAGAGGAUGAUCAGCCACACUGGGACUGAGACACGGCCCAGACUCCUACGGGAGGCAGCAGUGGGGAAUAUUGGACAAUGGGCGAAAGCCUGAUCCAGCAAUGCCGCGUGAGUGAUGAAGGCCUUAGGUUGUAAAGCUCUUUACCCGGAUGAUAUGACAGUACCGGAGAUAAGCCCGGCUAACUCCGUGCCAGCAGCCGC